UGUCUUCUAUUUAUUUGUUACUUUUUUCAUCUUGAUUGUUUGAUUGACUUCUGUGCUUAGUCUUCUUCGUUUUCCCCUUUUGAAUCUCAACAGACUUCAACAUUAUGUUCAUCAUUAUUUUUGGUUCUUGGAAUGUUUGUUGCUAAAACUUCUGCCUUAGCUUUAGGUUGUAUGAAACUAGAUCUUUUCCUUUUCCUUGUUAUAAAAUCCUUACGUCACAUAUGUCUACUAUUUCCAUGCUUGCUUGUCUCGUGCUUUCUGUCCCUCCAUAACAUGUGGUCUGUAUUCCGUAUUAGACAGCAGGUUCAACUAUUCCCCAAUUUGCAAUUCUUUGUAAUUCCGCUGGUGCAGUGUGCUAUGCUUCAGGAUUGACUUUUCUUUCUCUCACCACUGAUCCUAGGCUUCAAUGCCUUGUUGUCAAAUAUCAGGUUCACUCAUUAUUAGUAGUAUUGUGGUGGUUAUUCAUCUGUAUAUUUCUUAGUCUUAUCCUUCAUUAUGAAGUAUAAGGAUAAUGAUUUUUGUUUUUGAAUUGAUUAGUUGCUGCCUAUCAUUUUAUUUAUUUUUAUUUCCCCUGUCUAAUGAUUGUUUGAUUCAUUGAAUUAAAAUUUAGAAUAAGAAAAUAUAAUUGGGAAAACUUCUUUCUCUCGUUUUGAUUCUAUUAAUUAUCUGUCAUUUUUAGGAUAUUUUUCAUGAGAGCUUUAUAAUUUAAGGUCAACUGCUUACAUUCUGUUAGUAAUAAAGUUUUAACGAAGGAAUUUGUUUAAUCUUGAAGUCUGUUGCUGCCCAUAUGGUUGUUCUAUAUAGAUUGUUAGUUUGCAUAAUGCAUUCUACGUGUUUGUAAAAAUGCCUCCUGACUUGUCAAUAAAGAAACAAAGGUACUUUAUAUUUUACAUAUUAGUGAUAUGGUAGCACUUGUCUAGCUUAUGAUGGAUAUUUAUUCUUAAAGUAUUGUACAACUUAAAUUAUAUCACAUUCAAAUAGAAUGUGAAUAUGAUUAAAAUGAAUAAACAAAUCAAUAAAACCAUAGGAAGAAAUAACACUUCUUAUUUUGACAAGUUAAACUAUAUCACAUUCGCUUUUGUACUGUUGCUCAUGAAAAGUUUCUUAUUUUCAUUUGACAUAAUAUACUUUUCGAUGAUUUGAAUGAACUACUAAUCAUAGUUUAUAUAUAUAUAUAUAUAUAUAUUUUUAUUAGCAAGAAAGGAAGUUUAGGUGAAUUUUUGUGAUGAACAAUUUCCCUUUUUUUUUUUUUUCCUUUAUCAUCUUUGAUUGAUUUUGUUCUGUUUUCUUUUUUGGGUUUUUAGGCAGAGUGUUCUGUUUUUGUCAUUGUAGUUACUACAAAACUAUAAGAAGAAAAAUGUGAUCUCUUCUUUUGGCCAUUUUUAAAAAAAAUAAAUAAAUAAAAUAAAAUUGAGAUAUGAAUUGGAUGGUUUGUGGUUGUUCUUUCAGGUCCUUAAUGUGUAGACCACUGCCUAUGGAUAUAGGAAGGUGCACUUGUGUUAUUGUUAAAGAAGCAUCCUUGUUAGGAUUUGAUGGGUUGCCUAUAUAGAAAACAGCUCCUAGAAAGAUUGUUCAAAUAGUAAAGGAUCUAGAGAAAGGUUUAUUAGGACGUAUAUUUUAGAAUUUCUAUCAUGAAAAUACCAGAAAUGAUUUUUUAUGCUAAACGGCUCAUUCUUUUGGAUUCUUCCAUUUUGGAAACAGUAUCUAGAAAAGAUUGAUCAAGAAGUAAUGCUAAAACCGUUGAUGAUGUUGAACACUUUCUUACAAUCAAAUUACUAGAAAACCAGUCCUCAUACUGAUUAUCUUGAAUGGUGGGGUUGUGGUAGCUCGUUUGGAACUAAGGCACAUCUUCAAGAUAGCAAUAUAGCCUUAUGAGUCUAACUCAAUCACCUUGAUCUUCUGUAAUGUAGAGUAUUUUAUUCAUCGGUAGCUUUCUUUAAUCAAAAUAUCUUCGCAGAGAAAAUCUACUUGUUACAUAUUUCAUAUAUUACUUAGAUGCAUAUGUUUCCCUCCUUUGUUUGUGGCUCUAUUUAUGGUUAUUGUUAAGUACAAUAUUAGAAUGUUAGGCUGACACAAAUAAUGUUUUGUUGUCCUAUUUGGAUAUUUCCUCAAAAGCCAGAAUCAAGAAAGGCAACACCUGAAAGUUAUGAUUUCUAAAGAACUAGGUGCUGGAAGAUUACUUUUGAUUUGGACAAGGAAUGUAAAACUUAACAUUUUUUGUUGUUGACAUUUGAUUUCGCAGGAAGGCAGGAUAGGAAACUGACACAAUCAUAUAUAUAUAUAUAUCGAUUGCACAGUAGAUUUUGGAUCUUUACAUUUUGGGUGUUUAUUUUUUUCCCGGAAAUGUUAUGUUUGUGCCUUUCUAUUAUAUAUGCAUUUUUCUAUGAGUUGGCCAUUAGAUUUUGCUAUGUCAGGUUCUCACGGUUAUCAUUCUUUACUUAAAUGUCUUGUUGAUUUUCUAUGUUUAAUAUGUACAUAGAUUAUCUAGGACUUGAAAAUGAUCUUGACGAGGUUGAAUUCAACAAUUUUAAUGUGAUUAAUUAUCUUUAGGAUUAUGAAGAUGAAAUGAGUGGCACUCAGCAAAAUAUAGAUAUUUGAAUCCAAGUAGAACUAAUGUCUCAAGAGGAAGUGCCUUAAAGAGGAAGUGUCUCAAGAAGACAAGUUAAUAUAAGUUACAAAAUUGAGGCUCGUGAUUCAAGCAACAAGACUGUAAGGCGUUCUCGUGUCAAAGGUGGAAGUUAUAUAUGAGUUAUGAUUGUUCUUUAUUUAUUUUGAUGUUUAUUUGUUGUUUUUGAAUAAUUUGUUUUGUAAAUGAGUACGGUUUGUAUAUGUGGUUUGAAAUUUAUAUUAUAGUUCGAAUGUUGUGUUUUGGUAUUCUCUCAUUUGAUUCAAUAUUUAUGUAAUUUUUAAAAUA